rfam:Gossypium hirsutum cultivar TM-1 chromosome 8, whole genome shotgun sequence
UGUUAAAAAUUUCAUCCAUUUGUACUGUUAAAAACUAAAGUGACUAAUAGAAUAAUCAAAUAGUGCCACAUGUACCUCAUGCUGAUGUAUAUAUACCAGUUUUUAAUAGAAAAAUGGACGAAAUUUUUAAUA